rnacentral:lncRNA from 1 species
CAUGAAAAACAACUGAAAGCAUUUUAAUGAGGAUUUCUUAAGUCUGGAAUCUGGGUACUUCCAGUCUUAGGCCAAAGCCACGCUUUUUUUUUUUUUUUUUUUUUUUUUUUAAACAGAGUCUUGCUCUGUCCCCAGACUGGACUGCAGUGGCGAUCUCAGCUCACUGCAACCUCCGACUCCUGGUUUCAAGCCAUUCUCUUGCCUCAGCCUCCCGAGUAGCUGGGAUUACAGGCACGCGCCACCACACCCAGUUAAUUUUUGUAUUUUUAGUAAAGAUGGGGUUUCACCAUGUUGGCCAGGAGGCUGAGGCAGGACAAUGGCGUAAACCCGGGAG